UAAUAGUGUAUAUUAAAGUUGUUGCAGUUAAAAAGCUCGUAGUUGAAUGUUGGUGUCGAACGAGCGGUCAGCUUCGGCUGUACUGCUCUCUCGACUCCUUCCUUCUGUGGACUACGUCGCACUUUACUGUGUGGCGCUAGGACGCAGAUCGUUUACUGUGAAAAAAUUAGAGUGUUCAAAGCAGGCCGUACGCUUGAAUACAUUAGCAUGGAAUAAUGGAAUAGGACGUCGGGCCUAUUUUGUUGGUUCUAGGACCGUCGUAAUGAUUAAUAGGGACAGUUGGGGCCGUUUAUAUUCCGUAGUCAGAGGUGAAAUUCUUGGAUUUACGGAAGAUAAACUACUGCGAAAGCAUUCGGCAGGGAUGUUUUCGUUAA
rnacentral:rRNA from 1 species